GUCAAAUCCUAGAGAACCUCCCCCCCCCCUUCACUUUCGUCCCAUCCCUAACCCUAAUCUAGCCGCCCCUAAAUUCUCUCAACUCAUUAGCUGGCGGCGGCUAUCAUAAUCCCUCCAAAUACCCAAAUCGAUAUCCCAUACUCCUCAAUCUCCCCUCGUCAUCAAUCUAUUACCAUAUUCCCCAAAUUCCCAUUGAAUGCUCUCAGAACCGGAUCUAGAAAACAGAAAGAUCGAGUUCUUUCUUCUUUGACUGCUCGUUGAGUUUCAAGGCUUGUGUUGACUCAAAAUUUAUGCUAGUCAGUUGUUCUUGGCACGAACAACCGAUUAGCGUUAAUUCCGGGUCAUUUCAGAGGGAUUUGAACCCCAUUGUUUGGCCCAGUGCUUAUCAAAGAUAUUCCUCUUUGUUUUUAGUUGUAACAAGAAAGAGGAAAUUGGAAACCUAUUGAUUCGGAAUAAAAGGUGUUGAUUUGCAGAGCAGCUCUAUGGCUGACCUUGUAAUUCAAAGGCCCUUUUGAAAGCUGGUGGCAAGUGAAAGAGCCCAAAAUCAUAUGGAGUAUUCAAUGGAUAACAAAAUUUUCUCUUAAAAAAAAGAAAGGGAAAGGCAUGUAGUCAUACAUUUGAAUGUAUUGUUAAUCCAUGGACUGUUCCUAAUGAACUGAUUUCCUGCAUAGAAUUGAUAUAAAAUAUAUUGUAAUAUUUCUCUUUUUGAUUGAU